GAAUAGCUGAACCGAUCGAAACGAGCUAUUGGACUGCUAUGAACAGAGUCCGGUACGAGCCAGAAACCAACUUCUCACCGCGGCUUCUCCGGAAAAUCGAGUUACUAUUCACUUUAAGUGAAACUUAGAAAUCCCGUAGAAUUUCCGUUUUAACUCGUUUUCGCCCGAAACUUGACGAGUGCUUUUGUAAUUAAAUUACACACAAAAACAUCGUCAACUGAGAGUUUAGCUACACUGCAAAAAUCUCAGUCCUUAUAGAUUGUCUAUAUUGUAGCCUUUAUUAUUGACCUACUAAUAAUUUAGUUAGUUAUGUUGAUAUUUUAUUAUUUAUAAUUUUUACUUUAGUAGUAUCUGCCAGCCGCAACGCGCGGAUAUCUACAAUAGUUAAAUGUUAAAAGGAGUUAAAACUUUCGUUUUCCUGAAUUACUAGCGUAGUAACCCGUGAGGAGUGGGAUUAUUUUGCCGUUGAUCGAAAAUAACAACCAAAGAAAGAGGAAGAGGAAGGACUUAAGCUGGUUGGGGCGGAGCCCACACUCAACCAUAAAGAAAAUGUUACCAUGUGGCAACUUUAGUAGAAAUAAUGUAUAAUUAUAGAUUAUAGAUAUAGAUAUAGAUAUAGAUAUAGAUUAUAAAUAUAGAUUAUAGAUAUAGAAGUAUAGAAGUACAGAUUACUUCCGACAUACUAAAUUAAUAGGGAUGAAAAUUUAUAAAAUUAAUAUUUUAUUUAUUAAAUUAUGUAACAAAUAUCUUCUUGAUGUGAAUAAAAGUUAUUUAAAAAUAUUCACAAAGACAGGUCUAAGAGCACGAGUCACGCAUUAAUUAAAGGGAAAACUUCAAAAAAUUCCCCCUGUGGUUUCAUUGUUUCUCACUUUGCCCCCCUGUGGUUUAAAAUGUAUCAAUUUGCUCCCUUGUGGUUUCUUUUUUCUCUUUUUCUUAUUAAUUUUAUUAUUUUUUUUCUUAAAUUAGUGAUAAAGUUAAAAUUAAAGGGUACUAAAGUGAAUAUUUGAUAAAUCUAGAUGGGCAUCUGAAGUUUUUUUGUAUAUAAUUUAAUGAAAUAUUAACGAAAAAGCUACGGAAAAAAUAAAAACGAAACCACAGUGAGACAAUUUGAUAUAUUUUAAACAACAGGGGUGCAAAGUCAGAAAUUACGAAAUCACGGUUUUUUUU
rnacentral:lncRNA from 1 species